rnacentral:lncRNA from 1 species
UGUCCAUCAAUCUAUCGUUCCAAAAUACAUUCUUCAAAACUAAUGGGGCUGAAAUACUCUCUAAAAAUUGGAAACCCCUAUAGGAAUAGGUAAUUAACAAAAAACUUCCAUAUUGUUCAUCUUUAUUGUGAAAAUCGCCCAUAUUUCUUUACUUUUUACAUUUCGACUCUCAUAUCGACCAUUCAUUGCUUAAAGCACUUCCUGUUUCAUUCCAUUCAUAUGCUCUGUCAAAUAGCCUCAUGCCAUCCACUUGUGUGAUUUGCUCAAUAAUAAUUUGGUCAAGACACCAAUUACCCAUGUUUCCUGAAAAACUCAAGAAUGGACGGAAUAAAACAAUAGGGGUAUUUUAUGCAAAGAACGGUAUAUUUGAGGGUUUAAAUACCAAAAGUGAAAAGAUAUGAACGAUUUGCAAAAAAAUAAAAAUAAAAAUAAAUAAGGGACAAACGAUAGACACUUUUUGUGAAAUUUUUUCUUUUUAAAUAUCCAAACAAAUAUGAAUUUAUAAUUAUAGGGUCCACAAUGUGAACAAAGGAUUGAUUUUGCUUUAAACGGAACAGUUGUCCUUUGCCAUGCCUUUAUCGUGUCUCAAUAUUUAUACGAAUUUCACCGCCAUUCUUUUGGCUUGCCUAUUGUAAUAAAUCGGCCAUUUCUGCUCUAUUUUCAGCUCUAUCAAGAAUUUUCACGUGGUGACUUUAUGGAAGUAUUCACUAUUCAUGGCAAUAGCCAACCUUAUCGUAAACAAUUUUUUUUUUUUUUUUGGGAUAAUGUUUACAUUUCCAACACACAGAUGCUUUUAUCUGUUUGUUAAUUCUCUUAAAUAUAUAACCGUUUUGGCAACUGUGAAAGCUCAAGGAGAUUGAGAACGGAUCCAUGGUGACAGAGGAGGCGUUUUAGGCGCACACUGUGCGGCUCCAUCGGCAUGGCAACAUAAUCAUCCGUCCGGCCGACGGUGCCACGCUGUGUGCGACUGAAAUACUCCCUCUUAAACAUACGAGUAAUGCUGUUCAUAGGGAGAAUUAUCGAUAGUCGUCCUACGUGACAUACAUGUGACAGUUUGUUAUUUGAUGUGUUAAAAAAUAGCAUUAUUCUUAAUAUAUCGUCUGCCUUCACCAGUGAAUGAGAAGAAGAAGGUGCAUUAGUGAACAGUAUGUAAAUGUUGCGUUCUUAUUUUUCUUCCUUCAUCAGUUUUAAGUCUUUUUGAAGAAGAAAUCUUAAAUAUUCAUUUUUGUAUGGAUAUUUGUUCAAAUAAGCAUCGAUAGCUAGGGCAAUUGUCUCCACUAAACUAAGG